CCACCGAAAGGUGGUCUAAUACUUCAUAAUAUCCAUCUCGUAUGGAUUAAAGCUUUAUGCGCUUUGGGAGGGGCCUGCGUAACAUUAGCUAGUUGGUGAGGUAAAAGCUCACCGAAGGCUUCGAUGUUUAACUGGUUUGAGAGGAUGACCAGUCACACGUGGACUGAGAUACGGCCCAGACUCCUACGGGAGGCAGCAGUAAGGAAUCUUCCACAUGGGGCAACCCUGAUGGAGCAAUACCGCGUGCAGGAUGAAGCGUUUCGGCGUGUAAACUGCUUUUAUCACCGAAGAUUAUGACUGUAGGUGAAGAAUAAGGACCGGCUAACUACGUG
rnacentral:rRNA from 1 species